rnacentral:misc_RNA from 1 species
GCUUUACUUCCUGUUACUCGUUUUGGAAUAUCACUGUUGAAGUUGAUUUGCUCAAGAUUUUUUUUUUUAAAUUAUUAUUGUUUUUGUUGUGUCGGUGCAUUGACCCCAGGAGCGGUAUUGAAUCCCUGUGACCCUUGCUUCAACUCUUGGGUAUUUAAAUAAUUGUCAGUUGGCUGAUUAAUCAUCGAUGACUGAUAAUAUUGGGAUUCUUAAGAGGAUGGACUGCCUAGAUUGCUCAAGUGACUUAUUAUUUGUUAUAUUGGCAAUUGGCAGUCCUAUUACUGUGUGUGCAUGUAACGUCCCUCUUAGUCUGUUUAAGGCUUUUCAGCUGCCUUAGCAGAAGAGCAGGUGACUCAUAUUGAAUUGUGAUUUUAAAUCCUUUGGUGAAUUAAGGAAUGCAAUUUUGCAUAAUGGAAUCUGAGGUGAGAAUUGUUGGUGCAAUGAUAAAGAAUUCGGCUUCAAAUAUGAUGUGUUUUAAGUUUAUUCCAUUUUCUUGGCUAUCAUUUUGGCUGUUCAUGUUGAGUCCUGAAGGUACAUGGAAUCUGAACAAUCUUCCAUGCUUCUGCAUUCUCAUUAGCUGGUACCCUUAAUCUUGUAUCGGCCCCAGUUCAAGAAUUUAAUCAGAAAAUUACUUGUAAGAUUUGAAAGUGAUUAUUAUAUAGUUGUUUUUCAGCAGAGUUUGUGGAUAUAUAAACUGCGUUUGUGUCAUUCACGGCUUGCUUCCCAUGCUCAUCAGGUUCUAUAUCGACGAUGAGUGUCAGGACAAUUCCGUAUCCAUCUAUAAAUCAUUAAAAUUGCAGGGUGUUGAUCGAAGUUGCAAGAGAUCCUAUUGUUUAUUCUAUCACAUUCUUGCCUUGUCAAGGUCCGCUGCAACAGCUUUGGCUAUAUCGUCUGCUGGCAAACAUCAUCCAAUUUUAGUUUUGGAACACUUGCCCUGAUCGCUAGAUAAUUUGCAUAAACUUCCAUGCUUCAUCUACUGGUAAGGAUAACACACAAUAGUUUGCAUAAACUUCCAUGCUUCAUCUACUGGUAAGGAUAACACACAAUAGUUUCUGCAUAAGAUUUGUGAAGUGUUAUGCUCACACCAUCAAAAACAUAAGCUUGGAUCUAGGUUCUAGUAUUGCUGAGUUUGUAGAAAGCAUCACU